AAACUCUAAGACUACUAUAAGAAAACAUAGAGGGUGCAAAAGGAGGAAAACUAAUACUGAAGCCAGCCUCAAUGUUGUAUUCUGGUAUAUAGCAUGUGGGCUAGUUUCAAACAGGU
rnacentral:snoRNA from 1 species